rnacentral:rRNA from 1 species
GAUGAACGCUGGCGGCGUGCCUAAUACAUGCAAGUCGAGCGAACGGACGAGAAGCUUGCUUCUCUGAUGUUAGCGGCGGACGGGUGAGUAACACGUGGAUAACCUACCUAUAAGACUGGGAUAACUUCGGGAAACCGUAGCUAAUACCGGCUAAUAUUUUGCACCGCAUUGUUCAAAAGUGAAAGACGGUCUUGCUGUCACUUAUAGAUGGAUCCGCGCUGCAUUAGCUAGUUGGUAAGGUAACGGCUUACCAAGGCAACGAUGCAUAGCCGACCUGAGAGGCGGAUAGGCCACACGGGAACUGAGACGCGGUCCAGACUCCUAAGGGAGGCAGCAGUAGGGAAUCUGCCGCAAUGGGCGAAAGUCUGACGGAGCAACGCCGCGUGAGUGAUGAAGGUCUUCGGAUCGUAAAACUGUAUUAUGAGUGAAGAACAGAUGUGUAAUUAACUGUGCAGAUCGUGACGGUACCUAAUCAGAAAGCAACGGCUAACUACGUG